rnacentral:rRNA from 1 species
UACGGGGGGGGCAAGCGUUGUUCGGAAUUACUGGGCGUAAAGGGCUCGUAGGCGGCCAACUAAGUCAGACGUGAAAUCCCUCGGCUUAACCGGGGAACUGCAUCUGAUACUGGAUGGCUUGGAUUCGGGAGAGGAAUGCGGAAUUCCAGGUGUAGCGGUGAAAUGCGUAGAUAUCUGGAGGAACACCGGUGGCGAAGGCGGCAUUCUGGACCGACAUUGACGCUGAGGAGCGAAAGCCAGGGGAGCAAAGCGGG